rnacentral:lncRNA from 1 species
UUCAUGGGGCCCCGUUGGCCUUCCGACCGGUUGUGGAGGGGUUCGGGGCACCAACUUGUCCUUUGGAGGGGGCUGUAGCCGCCUGGAUUGGUGAAACCUUCCAGAUGUGCCCGUGCACAGUGCCGUCCUCGGGAGCUGUUGUGGAGGGGCUUGGGAUGGUGUCUCUCCGCAGUGGUGGGGUUGUCACAGUGUAUGAUUUCGGGGGGCUUUGCCCAGCACUUGAAGUGGCUCCUGCCUGCCUCCACCUAUGCCGGUUCCUCUUGGGGGGUGCUCCCCGAGAUAGUUGCGGCCCAGCACUGUACAGAGAUGUAGCGGACGUCCU